rnacentral:lncRNA from 1 species
UCUUAAAAUAUAAUGGUAAUAAGAGGUUAUAGGCAAUUUAAAUGAAAAAAAGGAAACAAAAGGACGGGAGGCUGAACAAGAAAACAUCGUAUAUCCAAAUUAUUCGACGUAUUGUUGUGUCUCUGGCAAGUGUACCAGAUCGUUCAAGUAAUAUAAUCGGUAAUACCCGAUAUCGUUCUUUCCAAGAGACUCGAAAGGCCUUAUUGUUCGUGUGAAUUAAUAUCGCAAGACUUGUAAAGAAAAAAUUAAUUGUGUGGAAUGCAAAGACAGAAAAUAAACAUGCAAUGUUAUUGAUUCAAUUGACAAGAAAAAGGUUAUGGAUGAAUGGAGUUGUUGGGGGUUGACAAUUUCAUCUUAUCCGCUCUCGUAUCUACUCCUCUUGUUUAAUGUGCUUGAUUAUCUAAUUAUCAUGCAAACUUUCUUGGCCUACCCUUAACCCGAUCCCUCGACGAAAAGAGCAUAUUACUAAUUACUGGCUUGCUAUCCCUAGCCUCCCCUAGCAAUUAAUAACGCAUUAAGAACAGAAGCAAAAACAAUUGAUUGUCCUACCCCCUAUCCAUGGGUUGGUACGGCUUAAUCAAGGAAUUUCUCACCAGUUCAUGACAAUACUGUACGUCCCCGUAUCAAUAAAGACAAACAACAAUUAUCGAAUGAAUUAAACGAUAAAAGCUUUAAGCGCAGAUGAGAACCCAACAAUUGAUAAUC